rnacentral:rRNA from 1 species
UACGGAGGAUGCAAGCGUUAUCCGGAUUCAUUGGGUUUAAAGGGUGCGCAGGCGGGCUUGUAAGUCAGUGGUGAAAUCUUGCCGCUUAACGGUAAAAUUGCCAUUGAUACUGCGAGUCUUGAAUAUGGUUGAGGUAGGCGGAAUGUGUCGUGUAGCGGUGAAAUGCAUAGAUAUGACACAGAACGCCGAUUGCGAAGGCAGCUUACUAAGCCAUGAUUGACGCUGAGGCACGAAAGCGUGGGGAGCGAACAGG